rnacentral:misc_RNA from 1 species
GAUGAAGAUCGUAGCGAAAUGCGAUAAGUAGUGUGAAUUGCAGAAUUCAGUGAAUCAUCGAAUCUUUGAACGCACAUUGCGCCCCUUGGUAUUCCAUGGGGCAUGCCUGUUCGAGCGUCAUUUGUACCUUCAAGCUUUGCUUGGUGUUGGGUGUUUGUCUCGCCUUUGCGUGUAGACUCGCCUUAAAAUAAUUGGCAGCCGGCGUAUUGAUUUCGGAGCGCAGUACAUCUCGCGCUUUGCACUCAUAACGACAGCGUCCAAAAGUACAUUUUACACUCUUGACCUCGGAUCAGGUAGGGAUACCCGCUGAACUUAAGCAUAUCAAUAAGCGGAGGA